rnacentral:lncRNA from 1 species
CAAGUUUGAGAUUUAUUUAUUUAUUUAUUAUUAUUUAUUUAAUUUUUUUUCGUUUUCGUUUUCCUUUUUUUUUCGUUUUUUUUUUUCGUUAUUUUUUCUCUCGUUAUUUUCGUUUUUUUUAAAUGAAUGCAUGCAUGAGGUGUAAAGCGUAUGCUUCUAGGAAAAAUGAAGGGUAAAUUUUGGGGUAUUACAGGUCCGCACUUCCUCUUUGUCAUUGUCAACACCAUCACCAACACCAACUUUGGUGUACAUGAAGAAGAAGUUGUACAAGAAUCAGCUGCAUCACAACCCUUCC